UUAGAGUUUUGAUCUGGCUCAGAUUGAAUGCUGGCGGCAGGCUUAACACUUUCAAGUCGAGCGGAGAGAGGUAGCUUGCUACUGAUCUUAGCGGCGGACGGGUGAGUAAUGCUUAGGAAUCUGCCUAUUAGUGGGGGACAACAUUUCGAAAGGAAUGCUAAUACCGCAUACGUCCUACGGGAGAAAGCAGGGGAUCUUCGGACCUUGCGCUAAUAGAUGAGCCUAAGUCGGAUUAGCUAGUUGGUGGGGUAAAGGCCUACCAAGGCGACGAUCUGUAGCGGGUCUGAGAGGAUGAUCCGCCACACUGGGACUGAGACACGGCCCAGACUCCUACGGGAGGCAGCAGUGGGGAAUAUUGGACAAUGGGCGCAAGCCUGAUCCAGCCAUGCCGCGUGUGUGAAGAAGGCCUUAUGGUUGUAAAGCACUUUAAGCGAGGAGGAGGCUACUUUAGUUAAUACCUAGAGAUAGUGGACGUUACUCGCAGAAUAAGCACCGGCUAACUC
rnacentral:rRNA from 1 species